rfam:Frankia sp. ETN1h contig_63, whole genome shotgun sequence.
GAUACCCCUCCGACGCAGCCGGGGCAGGAGCGGGGGAACCACGUUCCACCGGGCGCCGCAUCCCUCCGGCGGCGCCCUUGGGGUGAAGCCGGGCGUGUUCGACACGGCCGGCCGGGCUCCCAGCCCGAACCCGACAGCUCACCUCGCAGGCGUCUGGGAAAGGUUUC